UAUAACUUCAAAAAUUCAAGAUGGAUGGGUUCGGGUUCGAAAUUGGAAGGCACGUCAGCUCUGCCGAUACGGCAAGACCCGUACGAAGUCUUGUGUGUUUCUAGGGAUUCAACUCAUUCAACUGAUUAGGAAAUUAAAACGGCGUACUGGAAACUCGCUCUCAAGUGGUCGACGAUGUUGUUUCUUCAAGAAACAUUACUGAAUGGUUGCAGAACAAUGCCCUCGAGCAGCUCAUGGAGUUCACAUCUCAUCUCUACAAAUUUCUUGUGCCUGAUGUGACUUUGAUAACAGAUUUUUGCUACUGUAGAGUUUGGCCUUAAAGCCAUUCUUAUGAGUGCCCCUCCAGCUCUCAUCUCUUAUGUGAUGAAGUAGUUGCACUGCAAAAUCAAGAAUGUCGAAGAACUAGAGCUGCUGAUGGAGAAGGAAUAUGCUUGGUGGGUGUGAUUGUUCGAAUGCAAGAUUGGUGAAACCAUUGUUCAUGCUCAUGCCAAAAGUUUUUUCAUACCAAUUUGAACUUCUCUUAUGUUGACAUCUCCGAUUCUGGAAUACCUUUGAAACCUUUCCGUUUUCAUGUCUCACAUAUGUACACAACUGGAUCAGUCAUUCGCACAUGUCGAACAACAUUAACAUUUGCAGCAAUUUCAGUUUCAGCAACAGCAGUGGUAGCUUA